rnacentral:lncRNA from 1 species
AUUUUUUGUCCUUUGUGACUGGGGCACACAUAUAACUUUAGUGUUUUCUAUGGAUCGAUUAUAGUAAUUUCUAUGCUUUUGUUGCUUCUUGCUGUCAACUUUGAAUGAUAUGGUCAGGCCUUUCAUGGUGGAUGUUGUUUGUAGGUCACUGUUGGUCUAGACUGUGGAUGAAAUAGUUUGGUGCUGGAGAUUAUGUUCUCUUCAGCAGCGAUUGAGCGAGCAGCUCUGGAAGGUCUGCUGUUCUGCAGACAAUUGAGCAGCAACAAUCGUUCGAUGGGGGGAGGAGAAUAAGAGACACUGUGGGAUCUUUUCUCCAGGUCGGCUUCUAGUUCUUUUACUCACGAUUUGUUGGUCUUCUCUUUCUUCUUCUCCUUCAACUUGUUGUUGGUCUCCCGGGGGGGUAAAAUCGUCAGCGUGUUGAUCUCUUAUAUUCAUUGUUGGGAAUUGAUUGAAAAUUAAUAAAGUGUUAUUUGGCAUUAUUCAUCAUUUCAUUGUACAUCUUCAAAUGAUCUCUUAUAUGAUGUUCUUAAGACUUAUUUUAUGAUAAAGAAGGAUUUAUGUUCUUAAACCUAUUUGCGACCAAUUGAUAUGCUGUUAAUAGGACAACAGCAUUGUCGAGAUUAGGUCGUUAUGAGACAUAUACGUUGGUUGUCCUCUUAACCAAGGAGUGUGGAGAUACUGAUAUGUUACACAAGUGAAGUGUAGGAGUACAUUUCACUGAACGUGACCAAUUCCGGAACGCUCUACUGUCAAGAGAUGUUCCGAGUGGAUAUGGGUGUAAAUAUCCCUCAGACCUGAGAUCACCACAGUGAUUAGCAAGCAACUUACUGUACUUUGGUACCGAACUAGCAGAAUUUCUAAUUUUGGAACGGAAGGUUACUGGGUGCAGUCAAGUACUUGCGAAAUCAGUGC